CCCCUCUCAGGGUCACACCUGGAGAGUUUUCAGUACUCUACCAGUCUCGGCUAUGGGAGGUAGAGUCAAGCAGAGGCCUACCCAUUCCAUUCCUAGCUGGGCCAGUAGCCAGCAAAUGGAAGGCAAUCUGCUACAAGU